GAAAUAUAAAAUUAAGCUGCUAACUUAAUAUAUAGUGAAUAAUAUUCAUUAAUAUUUCU
rnacentral:tRNA from 1 species